CUGCUGACUCUGUUUACAUUUGGAAUAUCUAAUUUUUUAGAAAUUCUGAUUUUAUGGUUUCAUUUGGAGCGACAACCAUAUGAUACCAGGGGCUAUGAUUGGAUGCACAACCACAUUGGUCCUCCACACAGUACAGAAUCAAAAGUGUUUCUAAGUUUCACCAAAUCUACUCCUCCAGGUUAAGUCGCUGACAACACAAAACGGAAAUUAACCAAAAUUAUAGUGUCAAUUUUGCUGCUAGUCGCUCCAUUACAUUACAGUCCAUGGGGGUGUUGUAACCUCAGACUCGGCUAUCAAGGGUCUCUCCAGGCAAACGGCCAGCUACCAAAACGGUGAACCAUGGAUGAUAGAUCAGCGCCUCUUCUUGCCAGACUUUGAGCCGGCAGAUUUCGAUGGGCUCGCGACCAGGUAGAUGAACCCCAGAACGAAGGAAACAACGGACACCAGUGCUCCAUACUUCGCAACAAGUUUCUGCACAUGGACAGUCUCUUAGAAUCUCACACCAGGGAAUAUCAUGGCAGCUUAUUUCGAUGGAGAAGAAAUGAAAUGAAAUUACCUUAGCCUGAACAGCACAUGAGAGCAAAUCCAGAGAUAUCCAGAGCAAGGGUAUCAACCCCACAAAAUAGCAUGGAAAAAAUUAGAAUCACCAAGGAGAUAUUACCAGAAUGAAAAUGCACAUGAUCACUUACCCAUUCAAACUUCUUCACUGGAGGUCUUUCAGCAAGAAUGUCCAGGGGGAGGAUGGGAGUUGAGUAGGCCUCCU
rnacentral:lncRNA from 1 species